rnacentral:tRNA from 1 species
CGGUAUAGCUCAGUUGGUAGAGCAACUGAUUUGUAAUCAGUAGGUCCCGAGUUCGACUCUUGGUGCCG